UCUAAGCCACUUGCACCUUUUUCAAACCAAAUUAGUUUAAACUUCCAAUCUUAUCAUAAUGUAAAUUAAUCUCAGUACAUUCAUUCAUAAUCGGAUAAGAAACACAAGAAAUCAGUCUUUCCUCAGUUCCAUUUCUUCUCUACGAAUGCCCUACAGAGAUUUGAGCCAAAAGGUUUCCUUUUUGAUGAAAGCUUAACAAAUAGUACAUAAAAUCCACAUUGGAAGAAAGCCCUGCAGAGAGAUUCUCAAGGACACUCCACAGUCUGGAGCUAACAAUGAAUCCCAAUAACCCCUCUAAGCCACUUGCACCUUUUUCAAACCAAAUUAGUUUAAACUUCCAAUCUUAUCAUAAUGUAAAUUAAUCUCAGUACAUUCAUUCAUAAUCGGAUAAGAAACACAAGAAAUCAGUCUUUCCUCAGUUCCAUUUCUUCUCUACGAAUGCCCUACAGAGAUUUGAGCCAAAAGGUUUCCUUUUUGAUGAAAGCUUAACAAAUAGUACAUAAAAUCCACAUUGGAAGAAAGCCCUGCAGAGAGAUUCUCAAGGACACUCCACAGUCUGGAGCUAACAAUGAAUCCCAAUAACCCCUCUAAGCCACUUACACCUUUUUCAAACCAAAUUAAUUUAAACUCCCAAUCUUAUCAUAAUGUAAAUUAAUCUCAGUACAUUCAUUCAUAAUCGGAUAAGAAACACAAGAAAUCAGUCUUUCCUCAGUUCCAUUUCUUCUCUACGAAUGCCCUACAGAGAUUUGAGCCAAAAGGUUUCCUUUUUGAUGAAAGCUUAACAAAUAGUACAUAAAAUCCACAUUGGAAGAAAGCCCUGCAGAGAGAUUCUCAAGGACACUCCACAGUCUGGAGCUAACAAUGAAUCCCAAUAACCCCUCUAAGCCACUUGCACCUUUUUCAAACCAAAUUAGUUUAAACUUCCAAUCUUAUCAUAAUGUAAAUUAAUCUCAUUACAUUCAUUCAUAAUUGGAUAAGAAACACAAGAAAUCAGUCUUUCCUCAG
rnacentral:lncRNA from 1 species